CCUACGGGAGGCAGCAGUGGGGAAUAUUGGGCAAUGGGCGCAAGCCUGACCCAGCAACGCCGCGUGAAGGAAGACGGCUUUCGGGUUGUAAACUUCUUUUAAGAGGGAAGAGCAGAAGACGGUACCUCUUGAAUAAGCCACGGCUAACUACGUGCCAGCAGCCGCGGUAAUACGUAGGUGGCAAGCGUUGUCCGGAUUUACUGGGUGUAAAGGGCGUGUAGCCGGGAUGACAAGUCAGAUGUGAAAUUCCGGGGCUCAACCCCGGACCUGCUUUUGAAACUGGUGGUCUUGAGUAUCGGAGAGGCAGGCGGAAUUCGUGGUGUAGCGGUGAAAUGCGUAGAUAUUAGGAGGAACACCAGUGGCGAAGGCGGCCUGCCGGACGACAACUGACGGUGAGGCGCGAAAGCGUGGGGAGCAAACAGGAUUAGAUACCCCAGUAGUC
rnacentral:rRNA from 1 species